CGGGCGGUAUCGACAAAAUCCGAACCGCACUGGCACAGCCGGGCAGAAGCUCAGUUCAUCUGCCGUUUCACAGAAGGAAUGUUGCAUGACCAGCAGUGCGUUGACUUUUGCUCUGAGCCGCUUCAGGACCGAGACAAGAGG
rfam:Paenibacillus sp. D9 Scaffold1, whole genome shotgun sequence.